rnacentral:rRNA from 1 species
GAGUUUGAACCUGGCUCAGGAUGAACGCUGGCGGCGUGCUUGACACAUGCAAGUCGAACGAAGCAAGAAGCGAAGCGCAAGCAGAGGUUCUUGACUGAGUGGCGGACGGGUGAGUAACGCGUGGAUAACCUGCCUUUCACAGGGGGAUAACAGCUGGAAACGGUUGCUAAUACCGCAUGAGCCUCUUUUAUCGCAUGAGGAGAGAGGGAAAGAGAAAUCGGUGAGAGAUGGAUCCGCGUCCGAUUAGCUAGUUGGAGGGGUAACAGCCCACCAAGGCGACGAUCGGUAGCCGACCUGAGAGGGUGGACGGCCACAUUGGGACUGAGACACGGCCCAAACUCCUACGGGAGGCAGCAGUGGGGAAUAUUGCACAAUGGGGGAAACCCUGAUGCAGCAACGCCGCGUGAGUGAGGAAGUAUUUCGGUAUGUAAAGCUCUAUCAGCAGGGAAUAGAAAAGAAGGUACCUGAAAAAGAAGCCCCGGCUAACUACGUGCCAGCAGCCGCGGUAAUACGUAGGGGGCAAGCGUUAUCCGGAUUUACUGGGUGUAAAGGGAGCGUAGACGGAAAGGCAAGUCAGAAGUGAAAGCCCAAGGCUCAACCAUGGGACUGCUUUUGAAACUGUCAAACUAGAGUACGGGAGAGGUAAGAGGAAUUCCUAGUGUAGCGGUGAAAUGCGUAGAUAUUAGGAGGAACACCAGUGGCGAAGGCGUCUUACUGGACCGAAACUGACGUUGAGGC